rnacentral:rRNA from 1 species
AUGGGGCGGCCGCCGUGCUGCGACAAGGCCAACGUGAAGAAGGGGCCGUGGACGGCGGAGGAGGACGCCAAGCUGCUGGCCUACACCUCCAACCAUGGCACCGGCAACUGGACCUCUGUUCCCCAGAGGGCAGGGCUGAAGCGGUGCGGGAAGAGCUGCAGGCUGAGGUACACCAACUACCUGAGGCCCAACCUCAAGCACGAGAACUUCACGCAGGAGGAGGAGGAGCUCAUCGUCACCCUCCAUGCCAUGCUGGGAAGCAGGUGGUCUCUGAUCGCGAACCAGCUGCCGGGGCGGACGGACAACGACGUCAAGAAUUACUGGAACACCAAGCUGAGCAAGAAGCUGCGGCAGCGGGGCAUCGACCCCAUCACCCAUCGCCCCAUCGCCGACCUCAUGCAGAGCAUCGGCACCCUCCCCAUCCGCCCGCCGCCCAGCGCCGCGGGUGCCUCCUCGUCCUCCUACAUCCCCGUGAACCCAGCGGCGGCGCCGGGGCUCCAGCCGCUGCACGACGACGUCAAAUACCACGCAGUCCUGAACCACCACCAGCAGCAGGUCAUCACGCUCCUCGACCCCGACGCGCCAGGGGCGGCGGCGUCCCCGGACCACCAGCUCAAGUGGAGCGACUUCCUUGCCGACGACGCCGCCGCCUUCGAGGCGGCGCCGCAGGUGGUUCUUGGUCAGUACCAGGAGGCCGCGGUGGCUGGUGGCGGAGCAGCGUAUGGAGACACUGAUAGUAUUGCAGCCGAUGGUGUCGGCGGGGGCGGGGAGGAUAGCGCAGCGUCAGCGUUCAUCGACGCGAUGCUGGACAGCGACAAAAAGAUGGGCGUGGACCAGCUCAUCGCCGACCUGCUCGCCGACCCGGCAUACUACUACGGCGGAGGCUCUUCCUCUUCGACGUCGGAGCUGGGGCGGGGCGGUUGA